rnacentral:rRNA from 1 species
UACAGAGGUCUCAAGCGUUGUUCGGAUUCAUUGGGCGUAAAGGGUGCGUAGGCGGCGAGGUAAGUCGGAUGUGAAAUCCCGGGGCUCAACCCCGGAACUGCAUUCGAUACUGCUUUGCUUGAGUACUGGAGAGGAGACUGGAAUUUACGGUGUAGCAGUGAAAUGCGUAGAUAUCAGGAGGAACACCGGUGGUGUAAACGGCUCUCUGGACCGUAACUGACGCUGAGGCACGAAAGCGUGGGUAGCAAACAGG